UUUGUUGGCUUUCUGAUACCAGAGGUAAUGAUUAAUAGGGACAACUGGGGGCAUUCGUAUUGCGACGUUAGAGGUGAAAUUCUUGGAUCGUCGCAAGACGGACUAAAGCGAAAGCAUUUGCCAAAGGUGUUUUCAUUAAUCAAGAACGAAAGUUAGAGGUUCGAAGGCGAUUAGAUACCGCUGUAGUUCUAACCAUAAAUGAUGCCAGCCAGCGAUCCGCCGAAGUUUCAUAAUUUUAACCCGGUGGGCAG
rnacentral:rRNA from 1 species